rnacentral:rRNA from 1 species
GCCUGUGAGACGAAUCUAAGUUCUCCCUUAAUCAUCCUCCACGGACAUCUACCCAAACCUACAUGUAGCAGAUUAAGAGCAAUUUAAAGGGGGUACAGCUCCUUUAAAAAAGAACACAAUCUCCUCUAGUGGAUAAUUACUAUCAACCCAAACCCCUAUCUGUGGGCCUUCAAGCAGCCACCAACAAAGAGUGCGUCAAAGCUCUGCAUCUAAAGAUCCAAAAACAACAUGACUCCCUUAUUCCUAGCAGGCUAACCUAUAACAAUAGGAGAAUCAAUGCUAAAAUAAGUAACUCCGGGACUUACCCUCUUAAGCGCAAACUUACAUAUUCACAUUAUUAACAGACUCCCCCUAAUACCACAACUCCAACAAGACCAAAUAUUAACAACAUCUGUUAAUCCAACCCAGGAGCGCCCAUUAGAAAGAUUAAAAUCUGUAAAAGGAACUAGGCAAACCCAGGGCCCGACUGUUUACCAAAAACAUAGCCUUCAGCUCGUCCAAGUAUUGAAGGUGAUGCCUGCCCAGUGACAUCGUUUAACGGCCGCGGUAUCCUA